CAGGCUUUAUUUAGGCUUAUGGAAUUUCCCUAGGAGGAGCAGCAGCAGCAGGUCGCAGCAGCAGGAAUCAUGAGGCCCUUGGGAUUUGAAGCUUGGAUUGAAUUGACCAUCUGCAGUUCUAAGGUCAGCCUAGCCCUCAAAUUGUGUCUGGAACUGAAAAUUUUGAGAAGAUUGGUCAUGAAGAGAGAAAAAAGAAUGGAGGACUCACAGUAGUAAAGGGAAAAUUUAUUCCCAAUACAUCAUGUAAAGACAACUGACGUGUGGAUCUGCAUGACACUGUCGGGGAUUCCAAGUUACUCCAUCCAAAGCGUGAAGUAAUUCCUCUAUACAUCAGUAGAUUUAUAGUGACAAUAAUCCACCUCAAAUUUGUCACUCUCAUUUUCCUGUCAUUUGGAAAUUCUCCCGUUUUCUUUUCUUUGUGACAAGUUUCCUUUUCAAAUUUCUCCUUUUGAAUGUCACACUGCCAUCUAUAAUCAUCGUGGAUUCUGCAAGUCUUACUCAGUUUUGUUUACUGUGGUAUGCUGGCAAGGUAGUGUGCAUAUAUACUAUUGGAUGUUGGACUUUUUUUGUUGUAUGUGAUCCUGUCUCCUUUUGGUGGCCAAGAACUAAGAAGAUAAGUGCCUAUACAGCUGCAAGUAACUAUUUUAUUUCCGUUGAAGUGGAAGAGGCCUGUGAUGUUAAAGCAAAUGUGCCUUUGUUCAAUCAUGUGUACAGCGUAGCUGGUGAUGGGGGUGUCUUGUAUUUAUACAGCCAUGGGAUCAUCACACUAUCUAGUCGGAAGAAAUUACUAUGUAUCCUCUCAGAAGAUUUCUUGAGUUUGUAAAAAAACAAACAAACAAAACCCCAACCUCUAACUAUUUGAGAAUUGUAAAUUCUGGAAUGUGGUAAAAACCCCAUGCAGGACAUUGUGUUGGUAUUCGAUUAGGUGGCACUGUUUCAUCUGAGCUAAUAUUGAACCAGUGUCCUAGCAGCAUGCUGCAGGACAUUUUUCUGCUGAAGCUAAAAUAUCUUAAGUAAGACAUGUGCUUAUUAAAAUAUUACCUGAUACAAUAUUGCAAAACUAUAGCAGUGGUGUGAACAAU